rnacentral:lncRNA from 1 species
ACAAGAUUUCUGAAUAAUACUGCAUAUAAAAUAAGUAAAAAGACAAAGGGUUCAGGGAAAUCUUCUUGUGAGAAUGAGAGAUGGAGCCUUCUCCCUUACAAGUUGCGUAAAAUCCAAAAGAGUAAUCUAGGUUUCUUGUAAAACUCGUGUGUCCUCUAAGAAAACGAUAGCCUCCCCUUUUAUAGGGAGGCGCUGGUGAUAGGAGAAUAAGAGAAAGAGAAAGUCGAAACUAGGGCAAACUCCAGAAUAGGAAGUUUCCUUAAUGAACGGGAGCAGUCUAAUGCUUGAUCUCUUCGGGAGCAACCCUUGGGUUGUUCUAAAUGACUGUUCCACGUUGAAUCCUUCGAAACAGCAUCAGACUUCCUGAAACUCUCUCCUUUACUCUUUCACCUGUUCCCAACCUAGAAUGAUGUAAAUUAAACACGAAUUAGGACUGAAAAUGAGCUCAAAGUGCACAUGUAUUGGUAUUAAAAACACCACAUAUCAAUUCCCCCAGACUUAGAUCCUUGUUUGUCCUCGAACAAGACCAAGCCUCAAGAGCAGGGAGAAAGGUUUGAAGGAGCGGGAACUCGCUUUGUCUGAAUAACCAUGCUCUUACCACACAUCUCUGAACCAUACAAGCUGUAGAAUCAGAUCGCACACCCUUACCAGAACACCCCACGAUUGCUGUUCGAAGAUCAGCUCCGUACUCUGUAUCUCAUACCUGAAAAGGUUGCACUAUCGAGACAAAACUCCUUUAAGAAUCAUUUAAGAACAGCGUGAGCUUCUCAUUACAAGCACUAUUCAGGGUAGACGGGUUGAUAAGGAAUAGGCUGUUUUACGGUGGAGCUGAGAGUGUUUAGGGGUUACCGUGUUUGAGUGCAUGCAGGAUAUCGCGCAAAAUAGCAAGAGAGGACGGAUCUGUUGAAGCCCACAACCCUUACUCAUCUCUGCCUCACGGAUUAGAUUGUUCUACAAUGUGGAUCAAUCGUGCCACUGUUCUCCAGCUCUUGACUUCUUUUUAUUCCUCCAAAAUCUGCGCCCACUUCUUGCUCACCCUUUUCCAGCAGCAUGCAUCUCGAAUCUACCCUCUCGAUCAUAAAUAAAUUAAAGCAUUCGGGUUUUUUUUUUUUUUUUUUUUUUUUUUGAGUGGAGAUGGAGGGAGGUAUCGGGACGAAUGUUUUGCAGCCGCUGGGGGUCUAUCCUCUGUUUCUCACGGGGUGCCAUUGUUCCAUGCGCCUUCGACUGUUUCUUUCUUUAAGGAUUGAUCUUGUCGACUGUUCUCAAUCUACUUGUUCUUCUCUCUGAGUGUCAGGCGUCAACGAGUAAGGGGCUGUGUCAAUCCUAUCCUCUCCGGCCCUUUUGCACAUAUCUGCACAUAUGACAUUGAAAAACAGAGUGUAUGAGGGUGAAAAUAAAGGUUUAGGUAGAAGGUUGGAACUAGCUAAAAAUGAGCUAGCCGCUCAGGAUCAACAAGAUUGGUAAAAAGAAUAAGAAGCCCUGAGCGUUGGUCUCGUUUCCCUGAUCUAGUGCCCAUAACAAGAAGAAUUUCAGUCAAGAUUAGGUUCAAGUUGGGUGGAGUUGAGUCUACCCAGUGUAACCUGAUCGGAUGAGAGCUUCUGGAGAGUCAAAUGAGAUGAGUCAAAGGGUGUUCCAGGUCCAAGUAUGGGCUCUUUCAUCACUGCUAAGGUCACUGGAUAAGAAUGUUAGAGCACGAGGUGGUUAAAAGAAUAUAUCACAAGGUCCUAAUUCCCACAAGAGUUUUAACUGACUCGAUCCUAAACUGACUCGAUAAAACAUCAAAAUGACGCAAGGACUGACUCAAAAACAAAGAAACAAAGAAAUAGAGUUUCAGCACCCAGUGCUUCCCCCAGACUUAAUCGACACCAUCCCUGGUGGAAAUGAAGCUGAGGUCAGCCAAAAAGCAACACAGCAUAAAACAUAAAAAAAUAAAAAUAAAAAGUUCAGAUGGAUAGAACAAUGGAUAGAGGAUAGUCCUUGCGGACUCAGUCGGACUCGCCGCUCUCGGCUGGGUCAAAGGAUCGCCUGUUGCGCGAGCGAUGAACCUCUUCUGAAAAAGGGCCAGUUCCCAUGGGCUCCUUGCCUGGUCGGUGGGAUCUUGGUGGUCGAUCUGUCGUAGACUGGCGCUGGGCGCUCCCUCCAAUGCAUCCCCCAGUGACGAGGUGGAGUAUCCUCCGCAUGAGGCUGUUGUUCUUUCGCUGCGAGUCCACCAUCCAGCGUCUGUAAGCUUGAUCAUCGGUCACAUCGGCGAGCUCUCCUAGGUCGUACGAUGGGUCGGCUUCAGGGGUGAUGUCCUCAACAUCAUCCAUGUCUUCGUCAGGGACCGCAGCACGUGGAUCAGUGCAAAGGAGCUCGGGGGGAGGAAGAAACCGUAUGUUCUCAAACACGCUGAACCUGGUGAUCUCGGGGUGAGGCAGUUUGGUGAAUAGCUGAGUUCCGGCUUUAUCGUAAAAGCUGUAGGUCUCUUCAUCUCGCAUGAUGUGGCACGCCAUUAGGUACCUAAUGUCGAGGUACUGGACCUCCUUGUUGACGCUGUAUUUGGUGAGAUCAAUGUCGAAAUGCUUGAAAAGCGGUGUGAGCAGGCUGCCGCUCCUGUCUUUCUUCUUCGAGCCGUGCAUAAGGCACUGUCGCCGCUCGCAUAUCAUGGUGAUGAAGUUGAAACCGGGAUUCGUCUUAACCCUUUGAAUGGGAAUUCCGGAACCAGAGGCGCGAAUUUCAUCCUCAAUACCAGUGUACAGGGUUUGCAGCUCCCCGUUGGUGACCUUCGAUGUCAGAUCCUUGGCGAACAGGAGGUUUGAGAUGAUCUUCGCGAUGACACGAAGCGCGGGGUUCCGAAUCUGCGACUGGUAGACCUUCCCUGCUGUGAAGUUUCCAUUUGCAAUGCAGUCCCAAAAGGCGUUAGAAGGAGAGAACUUUUUCGCCACCGCUACCCCCUUUGGUUCAGCGGCCAUCUCAUAGAUUUCAUUGAGCUUGUCGAGGGACAAGCGACAGUACUCUCCAUCCGCCAUGAAAGAGAACGAGCAGUUGGCGUAGGAGGGUGCGUCGGAAUCCUCGUAGGUGAUCGUGGCCGUGGCGAGCAUCUGGCGAACAAGGUCUGGAUAGAGCUCGUGCGUUGUGUAGCACAGAGGAGCAAUCUCGAUGGCGUGCAGCGUUUCGAAUACAUCCUCGUCGAUCCCAAGAUCAGCCAAAGUUUCUGUGUGGCAGAAACGAGGGGGUAGCAUGUCAACUCUGAGGAGGGCGUUGUAACGAGCUGCUGUCCCCUUAUCCCACCCCUCGCAAUUGAAGUCCAGGAGCAAUGGGCUGUCGAGAUCAAUCAGUUCACCCUCUUGCUCGCGGGGCCAUGGGUAGGAGGCGGACGUUUGUUGCUGCGCUUGCGGGGGUGGCGUGCUGCACGUGGCUCUCGUUCGCUUGGCGGAUUGCUUAGUUCUUGCCAUCUACAAGGCAAACAAGAUCAAGCAUUAGUUCUAUUAUGUCACACAGAAGAAAUGGAAUCGAGGUAUUCCCAUCUCUCCUUGUGCGAACUGCAAACCGCUGUUCACUUCAACAAAUUUCAACCAAAUCAAACUCAAAUCGCAAUCGUGAAAUAGGAGAGUGUUCAUAUUCUAAAUCAACCCUAACAGCACGAGGGGGGAUCGAUAUCAAGUGGUUAAACAAGAAUCGAUCUAUGAAAGCGGUUUAGAAAUGAAUUUGCAAACCGAGUUGGGAUUGUCGGGCCUCUUACCUGUGGAAACUGGUAAAGUGAUCUGCAAAAACAGAGAGAACUCGAGAUUCCAAACGAAUGAGAAGCAAAACCACUUAAAACGGUUGAGAAUCAAAGAUUUGGUGGUUUGUUUGGAGAGAAUCGCAAGUGGGGGAUCAAUGUACGGCGGACUGAAAGGGAAAGUGAAGGGUGAAGCCUUAAAUAGGCAAAACCCUAACUGCUCCCGAAAUUAUUCUCUUUUUUUUUUUUAAUUUUUUUUUUUUGUUCGGAACAUUUACCUGGAACAGUCGAUGGGUUGUUCUAACAGAAGAACAGUCCGUUGGUUGUUCUGAGUGAAGAGUCCGAUUUUCUUUUUCUGCAAAACAAAUUAGAAAAGGAAAAGAACAGACUAUGUAGACAAUGUAUGUACUGACCAGUGGGUUGCCUCCCACCAAGCGCUUGUUUAAAGUCAUUAGCUCGACUUGGAUCAAUUGAUCAGGCAGAUGGGGGCUCGCUUAGGGGAAUUUCUUCUCCCUCUGCGAUAGUGGAGUCAGCAAGGUAGUGCUUGACGCGCUGUCCAUUCACUACAAACUCGUCCCCUUUUUUGUCUAAUAACACAACUGCUCCGUAGGGUCGAACUUCCUUAACAGUGAAAGGCCCGGACCAUCUAGACUUCAACUUCCCUGGGAAUAAUCUCAGCCUCGAAUUGAAAAGCAAGACCUUAUCGUUUGGUUCGAAUUGUCUGGCAAUGAUCCUCUUGUCAUGGUAGGCCUUGGUUUUCUCUUUGUAGAUUUUGGAGCUUUCAUAGGCGAGGUGCCUUAUCUCCUCCAGUUCAUGAAUCUGGAUCAUGCGUCUCUCGGUUGCUGGCUUGAUGUCGAAAUUCAGUAGCUUGACUGCCCAUGCAGCCUUGUAUUCAAGCUCGACGGGUAGGUGACAUGCUUUACCAUACACCAAGUGGUAGGGAGUCGUUCCUAGCGGCGUCUUGUAGGCUGUUCUGUAGGCCCAUAGCGCAUCGUCCAGCUUAAGCGACCAGUCCUUUCGCGAUGUGUUGACAGUUUUCUGCAGGAUGCUUUUGAUCUCCCUGUUGGACACCUCAACCUGUCCGCUCGUCUGUGGAUGGUAAGCAGUUGCCACCUUGUGGUUCACUCCAUUCUUUUUUAAAAGGCCCUGAAAUGCCUUGUUGAUGAAGUGUGUUCCACCAUCGCUGAUUACGACCCUAGGCACUCCGAACCUUGGGAAUAUGAUUGAGCUGAACAUCUUAGUCGCCACUUUUGCAUCGUUCGUAGGGCUUGCCACUGCUUCUACCCACUUAGAGACGUAGUCAACGGCGACAAGGAUGUACUCGUUCUUGAAGGACGCAGGGAAUGGUCCCAUGAAAUCGACUCCCCAACAGUCGAAUACCUCAACCUCUAGAAUGUAAUUCUGAGGCAUCUCAUUCCUCUUGCUGAUGUUCCCAAGUCGCUGGCAUGCAUCGCACCUGGCUACGUAGGCUUGAGCAUCCCUGAACAUAGUCGGCCACCAGAACCCUGCUUGGAGGACUUUAGAAACCGUUUUGAAUGCAGCGAAAUGACCUGCGUAAGAUGAACCAUGGCAGUGGUGCAGAAUUCCUGGAAUAUCUGCCUCUGGAACACACCUUCUGAACAAACCAUCCUUGCCUUGUCUGUACAAGAACGGUUCAUCCCAAACAUAACGCCUUGCCUCUCUCAGGAAUUUCCUCUUGUCGUUUCCUGUGAACUUAAGUGGUGGCUUUUCAGCAGCUAGAAAGUUAGCAAUCUCAGCAAACCAUGGGAGGUGAGGAUAUUGCUUUUGGAUCAAGGCGACAUGAUGUUUCGAGAUGUGAGAACAAUCGGGCGCCUUCCUCGGAGGUUGUUCCGCGAUGCUGGAACAGUCUGACAUGGUUCUUAGAGAUUGUUCCGCGUAACACAGACCAAUCGCGUUGACGUGUUCAACUGGGUGUUCCUCAUCAAGAGUUGUGUCGUCCUCAAUCUUCAUUCUGGACAGAUGGUCAGCGACCCCAUUCUCGACACCUCUCUUAUCUUUUAUCUCUAGAUCAAAUUCUUGGAGAAGAAGAAUCCACCUUAACAACCUCGGUUUCGCAUCUUUCUUUGUGAGCAGGUACUUAAGAGCAGCAUGGUCUGUGUGCACAAUCACUUUAGAUCCCACUAGGUAGGACCUAAAUUUUUCGAAAGCAAAAACAAUAGCCAGAAGCUCUUUCUCAGUUGUAGCGUAUCUGCACUGAGCUUCAUCCAUAGUUUUGCUAGCGUAAUAGAUCACAUGAAGUUUCUUGUCCUUACGCUGCCCAAGUACUGCUCCAACUGCAAAAUCACUUGCAUCAGUCAUGAUUUCAAAGGGUAGGUCCCAGUCUGGUGGUUGCACAACAGGUGCACUGACUAGAGCUCCCUUGAUGGUGUGGAAAGCAGCUAGACACUCACUGUCGAAAUCGAACUUGAUCUCCUUACAGAGCAGUCUGGUGAGUGGUCUUGCUAUCCUUGAGAAAUCCUGGAUAAACCGUCGGUAAAACCCAGCGUGACCCAAGAAACUCCUGAUGGCCUUCACGUUUGUUGGUGGUUGCAAACUCAUCAUCACUUCGAUCUUUGCCUUAUCCACCUCAAUUCCUUUCUCGGAGAUCUUGUGCCCUAGAACAAUCCCGUCUGUGACCAUGAAGUGGCAUUUCUCCCAGUUGAGUACGAGGUGUUUCUCCUCACAUCUUUUAAGAACCCUGCACAAGUUUGACAAACAGACAUUAAAGGAGCUUCCAUAGACGCUGAAAUCGUCCAUGAAAACUUCCAUAAUGUCUUCAAUCAGGUCAGUAAAGAUCGACAUCAUGCAGCGCUGGAAUGUUGCUGGCGCAUUGCACAAGCCGAAUGGCAUUCUCCUGUAAGCGUACGUUCCGUAGGGGCAUGUGAACGUCGUUUUCUCCUGAUCGUCUGGAUGGAUGGGAAUCUGAAAGAAACCUGAAUAACCAUCUAAAAAGCAGUAAUAUGGGUGGUUAGCCAAUCUCUCAAGCAUUUGAUCAAUAAAAGGGAGUGGGAAGUGAUCCUUUCUAGUUGCUGCAUUUAAUUUCCUGAAAUCUAUGCACAUGCGAUGUCCUGUCACCGUCCUAGUAGGGAUCAAUUCAUUCUUUUCAUUUGUGAUAACAGUGAUCCCACCUUUCUUAGGUACAACAUGAACAGGACUGACCCAUUUACUAUCAGAAAUCGCAUAGAUCACACCUGCUUCAAGAAGUUUCAUUAUCUCUUUCUUAACGACAUCUUUUAGAUUCGGGUUUAACCUCCUCUGAUGUUCGACAGAAGUCAUUGAUUCAUCUUCCAAGUGGAUUCUAUGCAUGCAUAAAUCAGGCGAAAUACCAGGGAUGUCAGCUAGCGAAUAUCCUAAUGCCUUACGAUAUUUUCUAAGCUCGCAUAAAAGCAAUGCAGUUUCCACAUUAUUCAGCUCAGCAUUCACAAUGACAGGAUAUGUGGAAUUCGGACCUAAGAAAGCGUACCUGAGCCCUUUGGGAAGGGGUUUUAGCUCAACUUUGGGAGCCUUGAGCUCGCUCCAGGGAUCCUCUGGUUGGUCCGGUUUAGGGGUCGCUCCAGAUGGAGUGGUCUCGCACCUGUUGAUAUCCUCCCCCAGACUUAGACUCGCUACCAUUCUCCCCAUACUCCUUGCGGAGUCAAGCAUCUUGGCAUAUCCAUCAGCAUCAAUGUUCACCAUACUCUGCUCGGCUUCAGCACGCACCAGUGCAAGUUCCAGUGGGUCUUCGGUAAGAAUCUCCUCGAUCAUUCCUUCUUGUGGUUGGAGCGGAUCAACCCCUUCAUUGACCUCAAAGGUUUGUCCAUCCAACAUCGGCUUCUUUAGCAACUCAUCCAUUUCGAAUUGCAUAACUAUGUCCCCAAGAUUCAGAUCAAUCUUUCCCUGUCGCACAUCAAUGAUAGCUCCGACAGUACAUAAGAAUGGUCUUCCCAAGAUGAGGGGGUCCUUAGACUCUUCUUCCAAUUCCAGAACAACGAAGUCUGCUGGAACAGUGGUGUUCCCUACUUUCACUUGGAGAUCCUCUAGAAUACCAACAGGAGAUUUGACUGAUCUGUCUGCGAAAACCAAGGACAUCUUAGUUGGUUUGAAGUGCGUGUAUCCGAGUCGUAAAGCGACAGAGUAGGGCAUGAGAUUCACGCUAGACCCAAGAUCCACCAAGGAGCAGGCAAAACUGUCUUCCCAAUCUGGAUAGAGAGGACAAAUUUGCCGGGAUCUCCUCGUUUUUUUAUUUGCCUGUUCUGAAGCACUGCGCUGCACUCCUUGGAAACUGUCAUGAACUCGCUCUCGUCUGAUAUUUUCCCUGAGAUCAACCCCUUCAUAAAGCUACGCAUGGAGGGCAUCAUCUGAAUCGCAUCCAUCAGGGGAAGUCGGACGGUUAGAUCUUCCAGCAUCUUCCUGCAUUUUAUUUCCUCCUUGUCCUUACGAGUGACCUUCGCUGGAACAGGGUAAGGGACUUUUGGAAUGUAUUCGCGAGGAGGAACAGCCUCUGGAAUCGGGCGCACUGCUUCAGCCGGUUGUUCUGAGCGUGGCGAGGCUGUUUCAACUACCGGCUCUGUAUUCCCCUCAUCUGCUUGGUCGGCUGGUGGUUGCUCUGACUCUUUCUGCUUGCCUUUCUCAGCCGCGGUGAACCUUCUCCUUUCUGGCUCGGAAAGUUGCUUCCCGCUUCUUAGCUGAACCGCAUUGCACUCCUUGGGGUUUUUGUCUGUUUUACCAGGUAGAGUACCUUGCUGUCUCUUGACACUCUCGGCAGUCUGAGCUAUCUGAAUGUCCAUCUGUCUCAUAUGGCUUGCGACAUUAUCAUAUUUGGUGCUCAGGUCUCCGAACAUAUGGUUCAUCCUAGUAUUGAUCUCGGUAGUGACCUGGUUCAGCGCUUUCCCUUGGAGCUGUUGUCCUUGGAGGAGUUGCUGCAGCAUGGUUUUAGUUUCAUCUUGCGGAACAGCGACAGGGGUGGAGGUAGCGACUUGAGUGUUCUGGUGGUUCUGUAUUUGAGGCUGAUUGCUCUGCGGUUGGCUUAGAACAUAUGUUCGGGGUUGAUAGUUCUUCUGAUAUCCCGAAUACUGGCCCUGGUUGUUCUGCGCCGGAUCAACUUGUUUGUCCUGCUUAGGCCAGAAAAGUUGUGGAUUGUUCCUUACGUUAGGGUUUGGGUGAUAAUUCUUCAGCUGCCACCCUUGUCCAUUUACGUAACUCACUUCCUGCUGAUCGUCUCCUGCCUGCUCAGCUUCAAACGCCUUGUCCCCCGCACUCUUCUCAGGAGUUGCUUCUUCCAUUAUGAAGACCUGGCUCUGGUUUCCCUUCAGCAGUUGGUCCACCUUCGCCGCUAGAUCGUCUAUGCUGUUCACACUUUUGGAGCGAUCAUGCUCCUUGUUCUUGUUGAGUGAACUGGAAGCCAUGUUCUCAAUCAACGCGAAUGCACCAGGGGUGGUCUGAGUCAUGAAGUCUCCGUUACUAGAGGAAUCGAGGGUGUUCCGGUACUCAUAGCUCACUCCAUCGUAGAACACCUCCAAUAUGUAAUCGUCAUCAAACCCGUGGUGUGGACAUUCCCUCUGGUACUCUUUAUACCUCUCCCAAGCUUCAUAAAAGGGUUCAUCAGAUUUCUGCUUGAAGUUGGAGAUUCUAUGCCUUAGAGCCGCGGUUUUGGACUUUGUGUAGAAGUGGCUCAGGAAUGCUGAUCGAACCUGAUCCCAUGAGGUUAGAGAACCGGUUGGGAGAGAUUGCAGCCAACGUGCAGCUUUCCCUUCAAGAGAAAAUGGGAACAGCGUGCACUUGACGUAAUCCGGUGGCACUCCAUUUGAGCGAGAGAAAUUGCAGAUCCUCUCAAAGGCCUCUAUGUGAUCCAUUGGUAUGUCUGAAGUGAGGCCACUGAAUGUGCUCUUCUGUACCAGACCAAUCAGUGCAGGUUUGAUCUCAUAAUCCUGUCGAGUACAGGGUGGAGGGUUGAUGGGGGAGCGGUUAGUAGCAAAAUUCCUCGGAAGGUUUCGCUCCCCAAUAAGAGCACCACGCUCCUCUCGCGCAGCGUUCUCGGCUGCUUGCUCUUGUGCAGCUUGUUGCUGAUUCUGGAUGGUUUGCUGCAUCUGCUGCAUCUGCUGUUGCUGAUUCUGCAUUUGUUGUUGAAUGAGUGCCAAUGCAGCAGUGAGGUCAUCCAUAUUGCCAUGAUCACCCAUGUUGGUGUCGGUUGUUCUUGGCUGUUGACGGUUCUGUCUUUCUAAUCUUGCGAGUUCUUCGUUAGUCAGCUGAUGUAGUGGUCCUUGUGCGUUGCUCCGAGUAUGUCUACUGGUCAUGCACUUGGAUCAUCUGUUCCAACAAAGAAGUAAAGCAAGUUAGAUAUCUCAGACUAAAUAUUAAACUGAAAAAUAAAGGUAAAAGCUUAGUCCCCGUCGCAACGGCGCCAAAACUUGAUACAAAAAAUGAAUCCUUGCUACUGUCAAGUUAACAGUGGUAAUUGUAAUAUUUGAGAUUCAAUCCAGAGGACCAGUUUACUCUUUACUCUUAUGAGUUCAAUGUCAAGCUGAGAAACAAGUGGGUUUUGAGAAUUAAUUGCGACAAAAGUAACAAGAAUGCCUAGGUAAUUGAAUUCAAUUUAAAUGAAGUGGCUUAGGGUCAAUAAUCGGAUGUUACUUGCAGAACUGAACAACUAUUCAAGUGCGAUGAAAUGCGAUCUAGAACUCAGAUCACUCAGCUGGAACAACUCACUAUCGUGAUCUUAUUCCCUAUGCGAGUCGGUCUUGAAUCCUAAACUCUCGCUUGGAACAAGACGCGAAAGCAAGCUUUAGAUGCGAGAUCUGAUUAGUUCACUUAAUACCCUAAUAUCUACUCUCGCUGAUUAGGGAUACUAAGCUCAUUCAAUAUAGGUCGACUUAUCUCCUAACGGUUAGCUAGAGGAUUAAAUCAUAGAUCCAACAUUAAGUGAUCAGUUCAAUGCAGGCAGUAAGAUCAAUAUGAAUGAAGAUAGUUGAGAUCACUUAUUUGUGUUCAGUUCAUGCGGCUAACACCCUACAACCCUAAGCAAGCUUUGCCUACUACUCAAUCAUAAAGCAGGAUGACACAAACAAGAUUUCUGAAUAAUACUGCAUAUAAAAUAAGUAAAAAGACAAAGGGUUCAGGGAAAUCUUCUCGUGAGAAUGAGAGAUGGAGCCUUCUCCCUUACAAGUUGCGUAAAAUCCAAAAGAGUAAACUAGGUUUCUUGUAAAACUCGUGUGUCCUCUAAGAAAACGAUAGCCUCCCCCUUUUAUAGGGAGGCGCUGGUGAUAGGAGAAUAAGAGAAAGAGAAAGUCGAAACUAGGGCAAACUCCAGAAUAGGAAGUUUCCUUAAUGAACGGGAGCAGUCUAAUGCUUGAUCUCUUCGGGAGCAACCCUUGGGUUGUUCUAAAUGACUGUUCCACGUUGAAUCCUUCGAAACAGCAUCAGACUUCCUGAAACUCUCUCCUUUACUCUUUCACCUGUUCCCAACCUAGAAUGAUGUAAAUUAAACACGAAUUAGGACUGAAAAUGAGCUCAAAGUGCGCAUGUAUUGGUAUUAAAAACACCACAUAUCAAAGUUCAUAUCAUAGUAUGCCAAACAAGAAUGAAAACAUCAAAAAAAAAAGCAAUAAGUCUAGAAAAAAAAGGUAAAGAACAAAGUACAAACUACAAAACUUUCAAAGUUCAAGAUAAAAUAUCACAAUGAAUCAAUAAGAAUCAACAGCAAGAAUAACAUAAUCACUUCAAGUUAUGUGUCUUUGGUCCCCUGUAAUCGACACAGAGCAAACAUAAUAACUUAAACAUAUAGCGACAAUGCAAGCCAUAGCAAGGCACAACAAGAAGAUAGUACAUGAGAAAAAGAUCAAGCAAGGCACAACAAGAACAACAUAAUCACUUCAAGAUCAAGUCAAAGUCGAACAAAAAUCAUGUCGAACUUGAACAAAAAACAUAAACAAACUCGAACAAAAAACAUGAAUAGAACACAAUUUCGAACAACAAACAACAAGAACAAACUCGAACAACAAACAAAAAAAUAAUCUCAAAAAAUUAGAGAUUAGGGUUAUCCGAGAUCGAUUUCUAGACGCUUCUGGUGGAGGAGAAUACUUUCAGUUUGUUAUAUGCGUGAUUUUCGGAUUUAUGGUUAAUAAAUCCAAUUUUACUAUCUCAAUCGUCGAGAUAUUCAGGGGAAUAGAAACAUUGACACAUACAAGGAAAAGUGUGAAGUGG